rnacentral:rRNA from 1 species
UACGGGGGGGGCAAGCGUUGUUCGGAAUUACUGGGCGUAAAGGGCGCGUAGGCGGGUGGACAAGUCUCUCGUGAAAGCCCACGGCUCAACCGUGGAAUUGCGGGAGAUACUGUCUGUCUUGGGUCCGGGAGAGGAGGGUGGAAUUCCCAGUGGAGCGGUGAAAUGCGUAGAUAUUGGGAGGAACCCCGGUGGCGAAGGCGGCUCUCUGGACCGGUUCUGACGCUGAGGCGCGAAAGCUAGGGGAGCAAACGGG